rnacentral:rRNA from 1 species
GAUGAACGCUGGCGGCGUGCUUAACACAUGCAAGUCGAACGGACAAGAUGAAGCCUAGCGAUUCUUGUUAGUGGCGGACGGGUGAGUAACGCGUGGGUAACCUGCCUCAUACUGGGGGAUAACAGUUAGAAAUGACUGCUAAUACCGCAUAAGUGCACAGUUUCGCAUGAAACAGUGUAAAAAACUCCGGUGGUAUGAGAUGGACCCGCGUCUGAUUAGCUAGUUGGUGGGGUAACGGCCUACCAAGGCGACGAUCAGUAGCCGGACUGAGAGGUUGGCCGGCCACAUUGGGACUGAGACACGGCCCAGACUCCUACGGGAGGCAGCAGUGGGGAAUAUUGGGCAAUGGGCGCAAGCCUGACCCAGCAACGCCGCGUGAAGGAAGAAGGCUUUCGGGUUGUAAACUUCUUUUGUCAGGGACGAAGUAAUGACGGUACCUGACGAAUAAGCCACGGCUAACUACGUG